CCCACAACUCUCUGUGAUUCUUUACUUGGAGAAUAAGAAGAAAGAUUUUGUGGUGUCUUGGAAGCUUGGAAGAAGAGUUUUUUAAGGUUCUACAAAGCCGCCGCUCUCCCAUCCACGACCAAUAUAGCAGUUGCCACACUCCCAUCCACGCCAAUAUCGCAGCCGCCACACUCUCAUCUACGAUCACCGUAGAACGCAACUCACCCAUCAUCCAACCACCGAGGAAUGCCAAAGGACGUCGAAGAACACUGAAUAACGCCAUCGAACACUGUCGAACACUCCCAUCCACCACACUCCCAUUCGCGAAUGCCACCAAACACCGUCGAACACCGUCGAAUCUGCUACCUUUGGAACACCGGGGAAUGCUAAACACCAUUGGAACACCGCCAAAUUCCAUUUAAAACGUCGACAAACGUGCUACCAUUGGAACACCGCUGAACACCAUUAGAACGCCGACGAACGUGCUGGCAUUGGAACGCUACUACCUUCUAGUAAUUUAUCAUUGAAACUUCUUGUUGAUUGUUUAGGAUUGAUUGUCUGAAGUUUAUUGUAACAAAUUUAAAAAAAAAAAAAACUAUAAGGUGUUUAUGUAUUGAAGACAAUAACGAAAUCCGCUUAAACAACCGGCACAUAUCA